rnacentral:lncRNA from 12 species
GAUCCCCAAACCCCCUGCGCUUCUCCCACUGGCUCUCCCUGAGGAGUUUUUCUGUCCUGUGUGACGUCUCCCAUCCUGGGAACCCCCACCCUCCCAAGCUCUGAGGAGUGCCUGCCACGGGCAACGCAGCCGUCUUUGGAGGAGCCAGGAGACAGAUGGGUCUCUUCCUUCCUGUCCCGUCUCUCAAGCUCCCUCCUCAGAGCUUCAUUCUCCAGCCUCCUGUGGGAAUCGUGGGAAUCGUCUGAAGUUUGAGCCUAGAACCAGAGGAGGAGGAGGAGGAGGAGGAAGAAGACAAGGAAGAGGAGGAGGAGGAGGGAGAGGAAGUCUUGAGAGCCCGUGCACCUUUCCAGAAACAGGCGGUGGGGGUGCGUCCCAGGCCCAUCCUCGGUGGCCCACGCCUGCCAGUAGCACCCCUGAGAGGACCCCCCCCCCACCGCCGCCCUCUACCGCGGUUGGCACCGGCCGCGUCUGCUCCCUCGGGGGGACCCCUGUGCCGGGGGUCGCCCCCAAGAUGGUGGCGGCCCCAGGGAGGACUGUGCCGCCAGCCCCAGCCUCCCGCUGCUAGGUCCCCUGUGCCCCGGGCCCCCCUUACCCCAAGCCCGGCCUUCCA